UCAAGCCUAACUUACUCAUCCUUGUUUUCGUCCUUUUUCAUUCUAGCGUAAUCACAUUAAGGUCGUUAUCCUUUCACGUCCAUAGCAAGAUAAUAUGUUAGUGACUAUGAUCUUAUCGUUAUUUUUCUUUUUUCUUUUUCUUGCACUUUUGCUCAAAUAUUAACAACUAAAGAGAUUUACACUGUUGAGUUAAAUGACCGAGUGAAGGUAACCUAACUUAGAAGGAACAUCCAUUUUUU
rnacentral:lncRNA from 1 species